CCUACGGGUGGCUGCAGUGAGGAAUAUUGGACAAUGGGGGCAACCCUGAUCCAGCCAUGCCGCGUGUGUGAAGAAGGCCCUCGGGUUGUAAAGCACUUUCAGUGAGGAAGAACGCCUGGUGGUUAAUACCCAUCAGGAAAGACAUCACUCACAGAAGAAGCACCGGCUAACUCCGUGCCAGCAGCCGCGGUAAUACGGAGGGUGCGAGCGUUAAUCGGAAUUACUGGGCGUAAAGCGCGCGUAGGUGGCUUGAUAAGCCGGUUGUGAAAGCCCCGGGCUCAACCUGGGAACGGCAUCCGGAACUGUCAAGCUAGAGUGCAGGAGAGGAAGGUAGAAUUCCCGGUGUAGCGGUGAAAUGCGUAGAGAUCGGGAGGAAUACCAGUGGCGAAGGCGGCCUUCUGGACUGACACUGACACUGAGGUGCGAAAGCGUGGGUAGCAAACAGGAUUAGAUACCCCUGUAGUC
rnacentral:rRNA from 1 species